CAGUAAAUUGAUAUUGAACUAUUCAACUUCUAUAGUAAAUAAUAUGAAAUUGUCCAUUUAUCUAGAACCUUUAUCUUUUCUUAUUUCUCUAUUUUCUGCAUUUAACAAGAAACUCUACCCUUCAACUAUCUUCUAUAAGUACUAGUUUUUAACUCUAACAUAUUAACUCUCAACUUCAUAAUUAAAGUAAGGCCCCAACCAUCCCUUUUAACACAAAUGAUAGAACUUUUGAGCUUUUUAAGAAAAAAUUGUUUAACGAAACUCAUCGUUUAAUGAAACUGCACUGACAUUCUUUUUCUAUUGAAUAUAUAGAGAGAGAAAAUUUGUGAUAAAACAAGGUGAAUUGAAUUUCCUCAAGAGAUUGGAAAGGAUACUGACCUGUUGCUGUUGGGAAGAUUUGCUGUUGGAGAGCCGCAGAUGAAAUGGCCAAGGUAGAACAAAACAGUAAGAAAAUCAAUCUUAUCCCUCUUCUUUCCAUUGUUGUAAUAGGAAUAGCUAUCUUCUCUCUAUUAGGUAAUGCGAAAACGGUCUUCUACUCUGAUUUAUUUAUAUAAAACGGGGGGAAGUGGAAGUUCUUAGGUUUUUUCUUCUUCCAAUCCACUAAAGCACUCUUAUCUCUUUAAGCACACGGACACGUAGAAUAAUACAUACUUUUAAAAAGUAUCGAAUAUUUCUUUCUUUUUUUUUCCUCCUGAAACUGUUGAAGUGCCUUCAGAAUCAGGACACGGUUUUCACUCUUCUGCUUUACUGUUGUUUGAUAGUAAUAAAAAUCAAGAAUGAUCGGCUCAUGGGUCGGCAGAUUAGCAGCGUUACGGCAAUUGGCUGGGGAGAAUGGAGGGCAAUUGCUUGAAGUGGAAAUGACCAAGCUGGUAAAAACUUCUCUAGAAAGGUACAGGAUCAUGCAAUCGGAAGUUGUGAUGAUUGAUAUCUGGAUGGUGUUGCUGGAGGUCGCAUUCCGGGUAAGCGAUGAUAUCUUCUUACGUCUUUUUCAAUCUCGUAUCCCAAGUUAAAGAAACCGUAGAUGACUAAUAAUUUUUAGAGAAAUUACGUUAAACAAUAAGAUUUUUAAAAAUAUUUACAAAAUAUAACCGAACUUCAAAUUUUAUAGUUGAUAGAACAUCGAUAAAUACUAAUGGACGUUUUAAUGUCUACCAAAUGCACUUCGGACAACUAAUCAUUUACUUGUAAAAUUAGGAUCUAUAUAAGGUUUUGGUUUUCAAAAUGUUCAAAUUUAGUUCUUAUACUUUUAAUUGCAUAGAUUUUUUAAAACAUAAAUAAAUAAAAACAAAAAAUUUCAUGGAAAGAAAUAAAUGAUGUCGAUAUGUUUUCAAAGUUUGUGGUAAAAUGUUACAAAUAACAAAAAGAAAUAUUAAAAUUGAAUAAUUAAAAAUAUAGAAAUUAAAAUCGAACAAACAUUAAAUUAUACAGAGCAAAAUAAUAUUUUAAUAAAUAAAUAAACGUGAGAAAAUUCCUUGAAAUAGCUUCUAGUCUUCUAACACAUAUUCCUCAAUCCAAACAUCAAUAGUGCACGUCGGUCUCACACGAUUAACCUUGUGACGACCGUAUAUGGCAACUUAUAAAUUGCAUAACAAAAGAUUCUAAGUGUAUUACACUUUAUCAAAGGUUUGGAAUAUGUUUGGGUAUUAUAUAAAUCUACACAGAAGUGCAGUAGAGAUGGAAACUCCAACUACUAUAAACUCUAUAUAGAUAUUAUGACGAUUUCCAAGGUUGCGCUUAUGCUUUCCAUGAUGGCCUGAUGAAGCGCCAGCCACAUAUAUUGGGAUCACUCCCCUACCUCCCCCUCGACGUUCAACAAAUCUUGAAUUAUUGUAUUCUCUAACAAUUAAUUGCUGUUUAGAAUCUACAAAAUACAAAUAUAAUUAUUAAAAAAGAGUACAAACAUUAUCACGGCAUGAUAAUUGUCACAUGGAUUUUGAUAAAAAAAAGAUGAUGAAAUAUGACACAUUGAUUUUUAUUUUAGUCGGUUGAUUUUGUUCUGUUUUUUUUUUUUUUUUUUUAAUUUUUGUUUAUUAAAAGCGAAAACCAUAUAUGUUCGGUUAUCCAUUUUUGUUUUCUGUUUUUUAAAACAAAAUGUGUAUUUUGGAAGUUUUUUUUUUCUUCAUAAUUUUAAAAAUGAGUUUCUUGUUUAAAAAAACAUAAAAAUAUAAUAGUUAUGUUGAACCUACAUGCCUUUUCAAAAACAAUAAAACACCUAGCUACCAAACAUGCUCUGAGCUUAAAAAUAUCAUACAUUAAGCAUUUUCUUAAGCUUAUAAAUUUAUAAUAUAUGAAAAUUUAAAAAGAAAAAGAAAAACUCAUUUGAACGAACCGUAUAAUCCUAUCCAGACAAUAAGUAUUUCUAAAAAUGAAGAAGAAAAAAAAAGAGUGGAGAGGAAUUGAACCUAUUGUGAAGAGUUGUGUGAAAGCAAAGGAAGUCAUCAUAGACGAAUAAAGAAUUACCAAAAUGAAUGCAAUCUCUCUUCUUCUUCCCAUUUUUUGUUGCUCUAUUUCUCUCUGUCAAUGGAACUAAUGGAGGAACUGUACAAAGAAAAUGGGAAUUUUAUGUGGUUUAUAUAUAUAUAUAAAGUGCAAGAAAUUGGUGGGGAAAAUUGAAGUAUGGGUUGGGUCUUUAUCUCCUGUCUUUUACUUUUCUUAAAUACUUGGAGUGUUUGGAAUUAAAAGAGAAUCUUUUUAGAAAAUAAAAUAAAAUAGAACAAUAAAAUACUAUUUCGGUAUUUUAUUUUUUAAAAAUAUAUAAUUUUAGUUUUUGUAAUUUUAUUUGAAUAGGAAAAAAAUUGAAACUAUUUAGAAAAUAUUUAUAAAAAAACUUAAUAUAUUAAUUUUUUAUAUUUAAAAAUGCCCAUUUUAAUAAAAUUUAAAUUUAUCUUUGCUACUUCUAGUUUGUUUUUAAGUUUGAUUGUUUAAAAAAAAUAGAGAGAUUUUAAUUUUACAUUUAGAAAUAUUGUUGAAGUUGAAACAAAUUUCAAAGCAUAAAGAUGAAAAUGAUAAUUUAACUUCAGAAAACUUGUGAGAACUUUUUCUUCUUCUUGUUUUACAGUUGUGUUCUUGCUUUUCGCUUUUAUUUCAACAAAUCAUUAUUUGUUAGACCCCUUUUUGGGUAAUUAUUUAUUUAUUUAUUUUUAUUUUUUUUAAAGUUUAAUUUCUUACCAUAAUCAUUAGUGUCUCAAUGGAGUAGAAAAGUUGGGUUGUUACCUCAAUUCUUGAAACAAAAACAAAUUUUUUAAAACUAUCCUUCCCUUUUCAAAUUUCAAAUUUAUUUGUUUUAAAAAUACUCCAACAAUAUAAUCAACCAAAUUUGAAAACUAAUGGAUGGAUGAAAUUAGGAUUGUGAGCCUAAUUUUCAAAAAUCAGAAAUAAAUAACUAAAAUAAUUAUCAAACCUAAAAACUUUGCUUUUACAAAAAUUCUUACUUUUUGACUGAUUUCAUUUAAAGCAUAUAUCUGCUUUCGGCUUUUAUUUUAAUAAACUACCUUCGUUUUGUUCAUUAUGAAAUUCUUUAAAUUAUAAAAAGUUUAUUUUAAAUUGAUUUGAGAAUUAGAUUAAUGUUUCAAUUAUGCUUAUUGACAUAAAAAGAAUUACUUUAAUUCUCAAAUUUUGAAACUAUUUCGAAAAUUAUAAUAGUAAAAAACGAACACAUAUAUGAUUAAGAUAAAAAUCAAUACACCACGGUUAGUUCUUUGAGUAUUAAAGAUCUUAAUUAGUAUCAUUUACAACAUCAUUCAUUCAUUGUACACUAACUUGACAACUAACAGUAACAAAUAAUUGACUUUAAAAUGAUUUUAACUAUGCAUUUUUAGAUAGAAUAAAUGGUAAAAUCAUUCUUGAUCUUCUACGAUAGAUAAUGAAAAUAGUAUUUUGAGAGACUCAAACAUAAUUGUAUAAAAUAAUGAACAAUUGAACUGGUCUGCACAAAUUCUUUUAAGUAAUGGUAAUGAAGAAUUAUUUAAAUUGAUUUACUAUAAACCUCAUGGUGAUUUUCUGUGCCACUGUUACCGACUCUUUCCCGGCCGCUGCCGUCAUCCGCACUUCCACUUCCACUUCCACCGCCGUCGUCACCUCUGCGUCUUUCACAUCCACAUCCACUUCCGCCUCCACCGUGACCGUCACCUCCACUGUCACUGUCACCGUCAUAAUCAUCUGCGCCGCCACUUCCUUCUCCCCCUCCAUCUUAUGAAAGGGGCAGUAGAAGAAGGGUGAACGAAUACAGAGAGUCUGGGAAUUUUAUUGUUUCUUGAUUGAUUUAUUUAGGCAGGGGACAUUUUCUUUUAUAAUGGGAAUUGAUCUAAACAGAAAAACUUCUUUCUUUGUUCAGUAAAACUGUAUAACAAUUAAACUGAAUCUUUAACGAUAA